rnacentral:rRNA from 1 species
AUGAUUUCUAUUUUCCUUGAAGACCAAGGAAUCAUAUUUUAUUUAUUUUCUGGAAAAGAUCAACAUGCUAAUUUUUCCUUAGUCUUAUCCAGAAUUUGUUAUUGCCAUCAGAAGGUGUACUACUUGACCAUGCAGGAUACAAGGUGUCACGAUGAUUUGAUGAGGCGGCACGCUCACUGCAGCUUGACCACGUCAUCCCUGCCAAUGCCGAUUAGCUCAGCCUUGGUGGCGGCGGGCUCCUGGACCACCUCAAGCAGGCGCCUGCGGCGGCGGCCGACAUGUGAGGGAGGACAUGUGUAUUUGAGAGAGGGUUAUGGAAAAGAAGGGGCUGGACUAAGAGGAAGGAGUGGAAUCACAUGA